CUUGACAUCACUGAGAACAGGCUGGGAGUGUUGCUCAGUGGUAGUGUUUAUCUAGCUGAGGCCCUGAGUUGGAUCCCCAGCGCUGAGAAAAACAAAACACUUCAUAGCUUGGUUCCCCAUCCUUUCACUGUGCCAAGUCUCUCUCUUUCUCUUUUUUUUUAUCGGGGAUCGAACUCUGGACCUUGCGUUUGUGAGGCAGGCAUAGUGCCACUAAGCUAAAUCCCCACCCGUGUGCCAAAUCUCUUAAGUGUCAGAGUAGGCUGCCCUAUGGAAGGCCUAGCCCUUCUCUUUGGACUGUGACAGUGGACACCUAACAACCUGAAGUCUGUGUGGUGAUGUUGGCCCCCUUACUAGUUGUCCAAGCCCAUCCUUCAGUGCUUUUGUGUGAACUGUGGACGGCCAUACCAUACAUAAGCCAAAGAUUACUUGGUGUCAGAGGACUCUGUGGCCUCAGUGAAUGGGAAAUUGGCUAGCACUGAGGCCUGUACCUGCCUUGGACUGUCUUGGAGGAAUUGUUCUUCACUUGGGUAAAGAGCUAGACUGACCUCUGUUGAGGGUCCCAAGCAGAGCUUCAGAGUUUAAAUGGGGGCAAGGAAGGGCUUCCCUGCUCCUCACCUGUUGGGCCACCUUGUGAGCAUCCUUUCCACAGACUGACUGUCCAGCCCCGUGGGGGGAUGUCUGGUGCUAUGCUGCCAAGGGAUCAGGCCCUUCAUCACACUUCAACAUUCUGUCUUCCUCUCCCUGUCUGUCCUCUACUCCAAAGGAAGCCUUUUGAGCUCCAGAGAUGAGGGGCUUAAGCUUUUUUGUCCUUGAAAAGACCAGACACAGUGGCCUUCACUUUCACUUCUCUGAUACAUUAAAACAGAAGGUGCCCCCAGCAGGCUUAUACAGCAAUAAGCAAUUCUAAUGCAACAAAGGUGUCCAGAGUUUACCCAUGUAUACCUGUUCAUGCCUUUGUGCCCAGUAAUUAUUAAUAACUCCUUCCACUUGGAGGAGUGAUGAUAACUCUGGUCACCUUACCUGCAGGCCACAUUUCCUGCUUCAGGGAGCUAUCAAGUAACUUGGCCACUUCUUACAUCCCUUCAGGAACAGUGGGCUCUGGACAGCACUGUCCCACUAGCUGGUAUCUGCUCAAAGGAUGACGCUGGGGAUCCCUGGAUAUCUCGCACUUCUCACACCCUCUUGGAAAAAUGACAGAUUCUGGUGAUGACUUUGAUUCCUUUUAACACAAAACAUGAGUAUAAAUGUGGGGGUGGGGGUUGAUGAACAACUAACCGUAGCAUGUAGAGAAUAUAUACUCUACCAUUAGACGAUUUUUUUUUAAUAAAGUGCUUGACUGGUU
rnacentral:lncRNA from 1 species